rnacentral:rRNA from 1 species
GAUUGAACGCUGGCGGCAUGCCUUCCACAUGCAAGUCGAACGGCAGCACGGGUGCUUGCACCUGGUGGCGAGUGGCGAACGGGUGAGUAAUACAUCGGAACAUGUCCUGUAGUGGGGGAUAGCCCGGCGAAAGCCGGAUUAAUACCGCAUACGAUCCACGGAUGAAAGCGGGGGACCUUCGGGCCUCGCGCUAUAGGGUUGGCCGAUGGCUGAUUAGCUAGUUGGUGGGGUAAAGGCCUACCAAGGCGACGAUCAGUAGCUGGUCUGAGAGGACGACCAGCCACACUGGGACUGAGACACGGCCCAGACUCCUACGGGAGGCAGCAGUGGGGAAUUUUGGACAAUGGGCGAAAGCCUGAUCCAGCAAUGCCGCGUGUGUGAAGAAGGCCUUCGGGUUGUAAAGCACUUUUGUCCGGAAAGAAAUCCUUGACUCUAAUACAGUCGGGGGAUGACGGUACCGGAAGAAUAAGCACCGGCUAACUACGUG